UUCGUAGUCACCUUGAAUAUCUAAGUUAAAAAGAAGAUUGCAAAGUAUACUUAUAACAAGAAAGAAGAAGAGAAAUAUGAACUAAAUCUGCUGGCUAAGUCCAUGGGUUAGUAAUCUUAGCAAGAAAGAAGAAGAGUAAUUCUUAAAGUAAGCUGAAACAUCAAUUCCUUUAUGCUUUAAACUAAACAUCACCAAUGCUACAAUAGUUGAAGAAUGCAUGCCCGUUAACAUUGAUCAAAAUGUUAUUGGCGCAUAAAAAACAGGCACUAGACCUUAUUUACAUAGCUGAAAUAAAAGUAAUCAGCAAUUUGAAGCAGAAUAUUUCCAAAGUAUCACGAACUAAAGAUAUAUCUGUAAUACAUCAAAAUGCAACAUAAAAUGGUACCAAAAAUAAUUUUAUAAAGAUUUUAGAGAUCUUCUAUGACACUGCAUCAAAAUGUGAUAUUACCUGGUACUAAACUAUUCUAAUUUGGUAUUGACAAAAUAGGGUGGCCUGAAAACUGUAAAAUAUGUUGUUAUCUCACAAACAGGAACAAUGGUGAAGCAUAAGCUGUUAAUACCAAAGAAAAUGACCAAUACCGACCUUGAGCAGCUAUUUCCUGAAAUAUGCACAUUGGCAAGAUGCACUUCCGCGAGUAAAUAAAUAUAAGUGACAUGAAAAUGCAAUAAGUAGAAGUUUCAUGAGGCAUAUAACGAUUUGCAUAUCAGCAAACAGAACUACAAAUGUUACCAUUCUUGCUUGUAUCUAGUUCACAAAGGCUUCUGGCUUACAAAUAUUUGCUAAUAACUAAGAUAUGGUCUCUAAAGACUAGC
rnacentral:lncRNA from 1 species